GGGAUUGCCUUAGUAGCGGCGAGUGAAGCGGCAAAAGCUCAAAUUUGAAAUCUGGCUCUUUCAGAGUCCGAGUUGUAAUUUGAAGAAGGUAUCUUUGGGUCUGGCUCUUGUCUAUGUUUCUUGGAACAGAACGUCACAGAGGGUGAGAAUCCCGUGCGAUGAGAUGAUCCAGGCCUAUGUAAAGUUCCUUCGAAGAGUCGAGUUGUUUGGGAAUGCAGCUCUAAGUGGGUGGUAAAUUCCAUCUAAAGCUAAAUAUUGGCGAGAGACCGAUAGCGAACAAGUACAGUGAUGGAAAGAUGAAAAGAACUUUGAAAAGAGAGUGAAAAAGUACGUGAAAUUGUUGAAAGGGAAGGGCUUGAGAUCAGACUUGGUAUUUUGUAUGUUACUUCUUCGGGGGUGGCCUCUACAGUUUAUCGGGCCAGCAUCAGUUUGGGCGGUAGGAGAAUUGCGUUGGAAUGUGGCACGGCUUCGGUUGUGUGUUAUAGCCUGACGUCGAUACUGCCAGCCUAGACUGAGGACUGCGGUUUAUACCUAGGAUGUUGGCAUAAUGAUCUUGGUGUAAAACCCG
rnacentral:rRNA from 1 species